CACACUCUUGCCCUACGAAACCGCGAGAAGAGUUCAAAGCGGGAGUCCCGCACUCCCUGUGGGAGGCAGCUCCUGCCAGCCCCCCGGGCCAGCCCAGCCAGCCGCACCGCCUCCCCGCUCCAUGCUCAGCCCCGGGCGGCGGGCAGGGCCAGCACCCACCACUGCAGGACGGGGAGUUACUCUUUACCCAUGUGGAAAUGCUCAAUGGAAGGAGCUCCAGCCAUGACCUGUCUCUCUGCUGGCACGAGAGCUGGAAGGGAUGCGUCUGCACCUCUUGUUUUUCCCUCUCUGGGUGGGGAGGCACAGAGGGCCAGGAGCCAGGACCAUGGCACUCCAGCAGCUGAACAUCUCAGGGACCACUGAGGACCUUGCAGGUGAGCCCCUGCUUCUCUGCUGGGGUCAAUAUUCACAAGUCUUUCUUCUCUGAUCUUUGGCUCACUUUCAUAGGUUCUUUCAUUUCAAUUUUAAUUGGAGGCCUUGGUAAAGGGGCAUAUUCAACCCACUUUUUCUGAAAGAAUCUUCCAUCUCUGAAACCCUCAACACGCCUUGCCAUCCAAAUUACUUCUUCCCCCUCUCUCUCCUAUUUUAUCUUGUGGCUUCCUUCAGCUGCCCUCCCUCAUGAACAGUUCCUGGUUAGUUAAGCAGGUGAAUGCAAGAAAAUCAUAUCAAGAUGAAACCUCCUUUCACACUAGCUGCUGAAGCCUGGCUGGGAAUUAACAAGUACCUCCAGUAAGGGUUCUCCUGAGCAAAUCCUAUUAACAACAGGCUACCCAUGGUCAGUCAAAACAUUGAAACACUGCAUUUAAACACACCAGAUGCCUUUGACAAAGUUUUAUAGUGUUAUUCCCUGUAUAUCACCUCCUAUAGUGGGUUAAAAGAGUACAAGCAAUGGCCAGAGCAAUGUCGUAUUUUAACAGGCAAAGCACAAAGCAGUAUCUACAGUUCUUAUUUCAGGUGAGCAAUUGAGCAUAGUUUUAGAACUAUACAAAAAAAAGUGGUUUCUUUUAAAUGUUGUGAUUAAUUUUUAUUGAAAUGCUAGCUUUCUUUGGGCCAAAUUCUACUUCAAAAAUGAGGUUUAUAAAGAGUUAGAGUGCUUAAUGUUACUCUGUGCAGGUUUGAUUGAUUCAGUUUUCUUCUUGCUGCUGCAAAAAUGAAUGCAAUAAGACAUAACUCUUAAAGAGUGAAUUAUCACCUUCAGGGAGGAGUCAAAGGAUUUAGGAAGAACCUCAAAUAAGGGAUGGAUGAACAUAUUAAUGACAGCAUUCACUGUCUGCUAGGUUGAAAUAAAUUAAGACAAUUUGUGCA
rnacentral:lncRNA from 1 species